GGCUGCAGCCGGUGCUGAAGGAGGCGGCUCCGGGCGAGCGCGGGGCGGGGCCUGGGGGCGGGGACGCGGUGGGCGCGCUGUGGCCUGGACAUCCCCGCUGCUGGUCUCAGUCGGGGACCCAGCGCCCGGCUCUGGCCCAGUCUCAAGAAGCCGGACUUGGGCGUUUCUGGCCAACGUCUGCAGAGAAGCACAGACUUUUACAAAGCUUGAUCAUUUAUACGUUAACCUCAAGUAUUGUACAGUCAUGGUUGUAUUCAGAUUUCACCAAGUGUCAUUGAACCAACUUUAAAGGAUCUAGUGAAAAGCCAUUUGAUGUAUGCGGUCAGAGAAGAAGUGGAGGUCCUCAAAGAGCAAAUCAAAGAACUAAUAGAGAAAAAUUCCCAGCUGGAGCAGGAGAACAAUCUGCUGAAGACACUGGCCAGUCCUGAGCAGCUUGCCCAGUUUCAGGCCCAGCUGCAGACUGGCUCCCCGCCUGCCACCACCCAGCCACAGGGCACCACACAGCCCCCCGCCCAGCCAGCAUCGCAGGGCUCAGGACCAACCGCAUAGCUGCCUAUGCCCCCGCAGAACUGGCUGCUGCGUGUGAACUGAACAGACGGAGAAGAUGU
rnacentral:sRNA from 1 species